CGGUGUUCAACUGGCGUGUCCGCGGGACGUCCUGCCGGUGGGCUUAGCCCGCAAGGGCGGCCCAACUUCAAAUCCCAUCGCGGUGCUCUUCACUGAGUGUCGAGGUGGGCCGGCACGUUUACUUUGAACAAAUUAGAGUGCUUAAAGCAGGCUAAAACUUCCCCUGAAUACUGUGUGCAUGGAAUAAUGGAAUAGGACCUCGGUUCUAUUUUGUUGGUUUUCGGAACCCCGAGGUAAUGAUUAAUAGGAACGGAUGGGGGCAUUCGUAUUGCGACGUUAGAGGUGAAAUUCUUGGAUCGUCGCAAGACGGACAGAAGCGAAAGCAUUUGCCAAAAACGCUUUCAUUGAUCAAGAACGAAAGUUAGAGGUUCGAAGGCGAUCAGAUACCGCCCUAGUUCUAACCAUAAACGAUGCCAGCUAGCGAUCCGUCGACGUUCCUCCGAUGACUCGACGGGCAGCUUCCGGGAAACCAAAGCUUUUGGGUUCCGGGGGAAGUAUGGUUGCAAAGCUGAAACUUAAAGGAAUUGACGGAAGGGCACCACCAGGAGUGGAGCCUGCGGCUUAAUUUGACUCAACACGGGAAACCUCACCAGGCCCGGACACCGGAAGGAUUGACAGAUUGAGAGCUCUUUCUUGAUUCGGUGGGUGGUGGUGCAUGGCCGUUCUUAGUUGGUGGAGCGAUUUGUCUGGUUAAUUCCGAUAACGAACGAGACUCUAGCCUGCUAACUAGGCGUAUUUUCGACAUCUCAAAGGUCCGUCGUCCCGGCCCUCGGGCCGUGGGCGUGCGCGAUUUUUACUGUCGGCGUACUAUCAAUUCUUCUUAGAGGGACAGGUGGCUUCUAGCCGCACGAGAUUGAGCAAUAACAGGUCUGUGAUG
rnacentral:rRNA from 1 species